GGGAAAAAUGAUUCAUUGGCCAUUCGGUUUUGCCUCACAGCUAAAUUUUAAAACACAUCGAUACGUCGUACUCUUGAAAAAUGUGCCAGGAUGGAUCGUGUCCUAGUUUUCCGGCACGAAAGUGCGGUAUUUGUUAUGCCAUUUAUUGUAUUGUGAUAGGAGCUACUGCCACGGUAAGUUGUGUGCUGUUGUUCGUUUAUGACGGAGACGAACAAUUAAUUUCGUUUGAAUCCUGCGUCCUUAUGUUUAUCGUAUCGCUCUUAUACAUAUUAGCGGGAUAUCUUUUACUAUUUGGAAUCUUGAAAGAAAAAAAAACGUUAUUCAAAAUAGGAAAGGUUUUUAGCUACUUUUGGCCCAUAGUCUUUGUAGAGUUUACCUUUCCAUUAAUUGUCCAUAUUAUAAGCGUAUGCAGACUGUGUUCGUUAAGAGAUGAACUAUUUCCAUAAUAUGAGGACAAUUAUCAGGACAUUGAUUUUAUAUUUUUUGACAAUAUUUUGCUAAAUUUUCAGCUUCAUAUAAGUUUUUCCAAAUUCCCUGGUAAUCGGCAUAUUCUAAUUUUAGAAUGUUUGGAAGAAAUUCAGAGUCCUCUUGGCAGUGGCCAUCCCCCGGAUCAGAAUCAAAUGGAUCUCCUCCAUGAUCUAUAUGAAUAAAAUAAAACAGUGAAAUCAUUUUUGUAUUGUA
rnacentral:sRNA from 1 species